GUGCUUGCUUUGGCAGCACAUAUACUAAAACUGGAAUGAUACAGAGAAGAUUGGCAUAGCCCCUGUGCAAGAAUGGCAUGCAGAUUUGUGAGAUGCUCCAUAUUUUU
ensembl:snRNA U6 U6 spliceosomal RNA